AGCCUUCUGGUGCUGACCACAGGGUGUGUUCUUACAUAGACUGUAUAGAAAGAGGAGGCAAAAUAAACCAAUUCCAUAUACACCUCAGCCUAGGUCCUGCGGUCCAGUCUGUAUUGUGAAUGGGGACACAAGG
rnacentral:snoRNA from 1 species